rnacentral:rRNA from 1 species
UACGAAGGGGGCUAGCGUUGUUCGGAAUUACUGGGCGUAAAGCGUGCGCAGGCGGCUUCUCAAGUCAGGGGUGAAAGCCCAGAGCUCAACUCUGGAAUUGCCUUUGAGACUGAGAGGCUUGAGUACGGGAGAGGUGAGUGGAAUUCCCAGUGUAGAGGUGAAAUUCGUAGAUAUUCGCAAGAACACCAGUGGCGAAGGCGGCUCACUGGCCCGGUACUGACGCUGAGGUGCGAAAGCGUGGGGAGCAAACAGG